GACGAACCGUGCGAACGUUGUUCGGAAUCACUGGGCGUAAAGGGCGCGUAGGCGGGCCCGUAUGUCGAUUGUGAAAGCCCAGGGCUUAACCUUGGAAUUGCAGUCGAAACUGCGGGUCUUGAAUGCCUGAGGGGAUGGCGGAAUUACCGGUGUAGAAGUGAAAUUCGUAGAUAUCGGUAAGAACACCUGAGGCGAAGGCGGCUAUCUGGCGGUGCAUUGACGCUGAGGCGCGAAAGCGUGGGGAGCAAACAGG
rnacentral:rRNA from 1 species